GCCAGUGGUGAUAGCACGUUCAAUGCACUAGUUCACGACGGAUCACUGAAGUUAAGUAACGUUGCGUGUGGUUAGUAUCUGGAUGGGUGAUUAUCUGGGCCAUGUACUAGCAUUUUCC
rnacentral:rRNA from 1 species